rnacentral:rRNA from 1 species
UACGAAGGGUGCAAGCGUUACUCGGAAUUACUGGGCGUAAAGCGUGCGUAGGUGGUUUGUUAAGUCUGAUGUGAAAGCCCUGGGCUCAACCUGGGAAUUGCAUUGGAUACUGGCAGGCUAGAGUGCGGUAGAGGGUAGUGGAAUUCCCGGUGUAGCAGUGAAAUGCGUAGAGAUCGGGAGGAACAUCUGUGGCGAAGGCGGCUCUCUGGGACGGUACUGACGCUGAGACGCGAAAGCGUGGGGAGCGAACAGG